UGGGGAAUAUUGCGCAAUGGGCGAAAGCCUGACGCAGCGACGCCGCGUGGGGGAUGAAGCAUCUCGGAGUGUAAACCCCUUUCGACCCGGACGAAACGCCCGCAAGGGCUUGACGGUACGGGUAUAAGAAGCCCCGGCUAACUACGUGCCAGCAGCCGCGGUAAGACGUAGGGGGCCAGCGUUGCUCGGAAUUACUGGGCGUAAAGGGUUCGUAGGCGGUGCGGUAAGUCGGGAGUGAAAUCUCUGGGCUCAACUCAGAGGCUGCUACCGAAACUGUCGUGCUUGAGUGCGGGAGAGGCCAGUGGAAUUGCAGGUGUAGCGGUGAAAUGCGUAGAUAUCUGCAGGAACACCCGUGGCGAAGGCGGCUGGCUGGACCGCAACUGACGCUGAGGAACGAAAGCUAGGGGAGCAAACAGGAUUAGAUACCCGUGUAGUCC
rnacentral:rRNA from 1 species